rnacentral:lncRNA from 1 species
UACAAAUUUUUACUGGACUAAAAAACUUUAUAAAAAAUCUAUUUGGCUAAAUAAUAAUAUGAAAAAAAUUGAAUGAAGAUGGUAAAUAAUUUACCGUAUUUUAUAAAUUAGUUAGCGAAAUAAAAUUUUGAAAAACUUAUUUAAUAAAUUAAAAAUUUUAAUAAAAUUAUUGUGAAAAAAAAAUGUUCAAGGGAAGGAGAGAACGAACGUGAGACUGAAAGGGACG